GAUGAACGCUGGCGGCGUGCUUAACACAUGCAAGUCGAACGGCAGCAUGGUCUAGCUUGCUAGACUGAUGGCGAGUGGCGAACGGGUGAGUAACGCGUAGGAAUAUACCUUGAAGAGUGGGACAACUUGGGGAAACUCAAGCUAAUACCGCAUAAUAUCUACGGAUGAAAGCUGGGGACUCGUAAGAGCCUGGCGCUUUAAGAUUAGCCUGCGUCCGAUUAGCUAGUUGGUGGGGUAAGGGCCUACCAAGGCGACGAUCGGUAGCUGGUCUGAGAGGAUGGCCAGCCACACUGGAACUGAGACACGGUCCAGACUCCUACGGGUGGCUG
rnacentral:rRNA from 1 species